AGGAAAAGAAACCAACAGGGAUUGCCUCAGUAACGGCGAGUGAAGCGGCAAAAGCUCAAAUUUGAAAUCCUUUGGGAAUUGUAAUUCGAAGAUGAGUGUUGCUAUCUGGUCUCAAGUCCCUUGGAACAGGGCGCCUAAGAGGGUGAGAGCCCCGUGGAGACCUCCAGCAUCGGCACUACAUCGACGAGUCGAGUUGUUUGGGAAUGCAACUCAAAGUGGGUGGUAAAUUCCAUCUAAAGCUAAAUACCGGCGAGAGACCGAUAGCGAACAAGUACAGUGAUGGAAAGAUGAAAAGCACUUUGAAAAGAGAGUGAAACAGUACGUGAAAUUGUUGAAAGGGAAGGGCUUGCAAGCAGACACGGUUUCGGCCGGGCCAGCAUCGGUUGAUGGGGGUGGAUAAGGCGGCAGGAAUGUGGCUCCCUCCAGAGUGUUAUAUCCUGCUGAGAUACACCCAUCGUCGACCGAGGCCUGCGAUUCGUUCUAGGAUGCUGGCGUAAUGGUUGCAAGCCGCCCGUCUUGAAACACGGACCACUG
rnacentral:rRNA from 1 species